rnacentral:rRNA from 1 species
UACGUAGGGUGCGAGCGUUGUCCGGAAUUAUUGGGCGUAAAGGGCUCGUAGGCGGUUUGUCACGUCGGGAGUGAAAACUCGGGGCUUAACCCCGAGCCUGCUUCCGAUACGGGCUGACUAGAGGUAUGCAGGGGAGAACGGAAUUCCUGGUGUAGCGGUGAAAUGCGCAGAUAUCAGGAGGAACACCGGUGGCGAAGGCGGCCAACUGGACGAAGACUGACGCUGAGACACGAAAGCGUGGGGAGCAAACAGG